rnacentral:tRNA from 2 species
GCCGGAAUAGCUCAGUCGGUAAGCAAGGACUGAAAAUCCUCGUGUCACCAGUUCAAAUACUGGCCGUCGUUUU